UGGCUCAGAGGUUAAGAGCACUGACUGCUCUUUCAGAGGUCCUGGGUUCAAUUCCCAG
rnacentral:tRNA from 1 species